rnacentral:rRNA from 1 species
UACGGGGGGGGCAAGCGUUGUUCGGAAUUACUGGGCGUAAAGGGCGCGUAGGCGGUUGCCUAAGUCGGACGUGAAAUCCCCAAGCUUAACUUGGGAACUGCAUCCGAUACUGGGUAACUUGAGUUUGGGAGAGGAAUGUGGAAUUCCAGGUGUAGCGGUGAAAUGCGUAGAUAUCUGGAGGAACACCGGUGGCGAAGGCGGCAUUCUGGACCGAAACUGACGCUGAGGCGCGAAAGCCAGGGGAGCAAACGGG